AGUCAAGAUGUAACUGCCAUGGGGUAGGAAGCCCGGAAAUUUCUCCGAUCUGUCAGUUGUUGGGCGUGACGGGCAUCAGAGGGCACCAGAACACGGGGACUGAGUGAAUCACAACUACUUUCUCAGAGAACAGACCAGGGAGAACGGUCAAAAAGGCCACCAGAGCUGGCUCUGGAUUUGCCACUUACUGCGUAUAAUGCUUUAAUUUCCUACUUCGAAAUAUGAGGGCUGACCAAUAAAAUGUGCACCCCGCCCCCAUGACCGGAAGAAAAGCAAAGAGUCUGUCUUUAAAACAUCUAUCACAGCGCUAAACAUAACCGAGCAGGCUACUCCUGUGUGGACUAGACACAAGCUAGAGUUAUCUGAAAGGAGGGAGCCUCCCCUGAGAAAAUCCCUGCCUCUGUAAGAUCCAGCUAUAGGGCAUUUUCUUAAUGAUUGACACAGGAUAGCCCAACCAAUGGUGGGUGGGGCCAUCCCUGGGUGACGGUCCUGGCUUCUGUAAGAGAGCAGGCUGAGCAAGCCAUGGAGAGCAAGCCACUAAGCAGCUCCCCUCCAUGGCCUCUCCAUCAGCUCCCGCCUCCAGGUUCCUGCCCUGUUUGAGUUCUUGUCCUAACUUCCUUCUGUGAUAAACAGUGUUGUAGAAGUGUAAGCCGAGUUAGCCCCCCCCCUUUCCAGGUUGCUUUUUGGGUCAUGGUGUUUAACUGAAGCAAUAGAAACCCCAGCUAAGACAAUACCAUACACACUUGAACGUUGGCUCUCUUUUUCAUUUCUCCAGCCAACUGACCCCCCUUUUAGCCUUUCCAGAAACAUCCUUGUAGUUCAAUCCUCAGAGGUAAAUCAACCCAGAUUUGGAGAUUCCUGGGACGUUUCACAUACUCUUCCGAGAGAUGAGACCUACUGGGAAUAAAAAAGGUCUCUCUGGACACCAGGGAGCCCCGGCUCUGAGGAUUCUGUAGCGUGCAGAUAACCCAGCAUACUCAGUCCUAUCAGGAAAUGCAAGAAAAGAGGACAUGGAUGUAAAACCUUCAUGCGGACAGAAGAAAAGUGCCCCUGGAGGCCGUGCUGCUUAUCUGGCCGAAGUGCUGCUGGGGUAAUCCCGGAGCUGAGCGCCAGGUCUGGGAAACAGCCGCAGCAGCUUUUGGAGGAGACCCCCACAGCCACAGGCUGAGCUGUCUCAGCAAGAGGGCCUGAGGCCACAGGGUCUCCCACCCUGAUCCGGAAAGUGAAGGCACCGUUGUAGUGCGGCAGUCGGGUCCAGGCAACGAUGCUCACAUCACCUCACGGUGCCCCAGGGCCCUCGGGGAAGCAGUGAAGCAUUGAGAGGGACAAACCCACAACUAACUUUUAGAUGGACAAGGAAUACUUUGACAAAGCAAGUCUUUUUGUUUACUUGUUUAUUUAUUUGUUUAUGUAUUUUUGAGACAGUUUCUCAUGCAUCCUAGGCUGGCUUCCUUGAGCUUUCAGCGUUGCUAAGUACACCUUCAACUUCUGGCCCAUCCUCUGCCACCUCAGAGUGCCUGGAUCGCGGGCAUGUACCAACAUGUGCAGGCGUGUGAUGCUGAGCGUUGAAUCCAUUGCUUCAUGGAUGUUCAGCGAGCUCUCCACCAUCUAAGCCCCCUCCUCAGCUCCAAACAAGUACGUCUUAAAGUGCCUGAAAGGGCUUUGUGUAAAUUCUUCGUCGUCCGUUACGUUAUCGAAACUUAAACUGCUCCUCUUAAAUAAAUUUCAGAUCAUAGAAA